rnacentral:rRNA from 1 species
UACGGGGGGGGCAAACGUUGUUCGGAAUUACUGGGCGUAAAGGGCUCGUAGGCGGCCAACUAAGUCGGAUGUGAAAUCCCCAAGCUUAACUUGGGAACUGCAUCCGAUACUGGAUGGCUUGAAUCCGGGAGAGGGAUGCAGAAUUCCAGGUGUAGCGGUGAAAUGCGUAGAUAUCUGGAGGAAUACCGGUGGCGAAGGCGGCAUCCUGGACCGGCAUUGACGCUGAGGAGCGAAAGCUAGGGGAGCAAACGGGG